ensembl:lncRNA
GGCUUACCAAUGGAGAUCAUCAGGUGAUGUUUGUUGAAGUUGAAUUUCACAGAUUCAUGUGGAUAGCUAUGUGGAUGUAUUUCUGUGUUGAAUCUCUCUGAUGUAAUUGUACCGUUAUUUAUCAUCUUAGGAAAUCAUUGCAUUUCAACAACAGCUAGUUUCCAAUCCAUUUUUCUGUUCAUCUUUGUGAUAUGAUCGCUGUUUAGAAGCACAAAAAUCAUCAUAGUUUCAACAUACAAGAAGAACACAGUGCACAGGAAACUAGUGCUUUUAGAACAGAAGACACUGCACAAUGUGAGGUACUGCUGGAGAAGAGUAUCCAAGUACUUUAAUAUCCAGUGAUGCAGAUGUGUUAUCUGCUUUGGUUUUUAAUGUAAUCAAGAUUUUUUUUUUCUUUAUAUUAAAUCACUCAUGGAGGGGAAAAAGAAACACCUUACAGGUUCUGUGACUCACUGCACCCAGGUUCUUCCGAAUUUCCAGUAUGCCUCGAGCUCUGUGUGUCUUUGGAUGGUACUCUUCACCUAUGUUCCUAAUGAAAUGAUUACCUUCUGUAAAUAUCAAGUCUUGUUAAGUGAUCAGCCUCAAUACAAGAGCCCUCUGCAGCUCAAAUCGCACAGAAUAAAAUCUAAAACGGUUACUAUCAGGAGGUUUUCAUUAGAGGAAUGCAAACAAAAUUGUCAAAGUAUAAGAUUAUGUGAUUAUAAUCAAGAGGAAUUAGACAUGGAGAAAGGGGGAAAUGAUAAAAAAGAAAAGCAUCAGAACAUAAAGAACAUCCAUAGAAAGCAAAUGGUUCAAAUUUAUCUUGGGGAGGAAAGUUUAUAGUAACUGGAAAAUCCACAUCAUUUUUGACAUUGUCUGGUAUGAUAAGCUGGUAGUUGAAUAAUAGGCAAGGCAUCAACUACAAGGAUGUUAAUUUCUGUAUUAGAAUAUUCUUUUCCUGCAGAGGUCGUGAUUUACUUCAUUUCAUUUUGAAGGUUGUGAAUUUGUAAAGGGAAUCUGUGAUUGCUCUCUGAUUAAUAAGUAGAGGCUAUUUAAGUGUUAGUUUGAACGGCCCAUGUUUACUAUAACCUCACAGUUUGUAUACCAGUCAAAAUUA